GCCCAACGAAACCCCAGUUGUCAAAUUCGUGAACGUGUGAGAAUACUGAAAAAGUAUCAGUGUUAUUCGGAGUGGCAGAGAGUUCACAGCUCGGGAGCAAAAUAAAUUCUAAAUUUUGUAGUUUUUUUUUUCCGCAAUAUUUUUUGACUAGAUAUUAAGAAUAAAGUGAUAUUUUUUUUAAACUAAUUUAAGCAAAAAGUGAAAAACACAACCAACAAACAAAAGACAGUGAAACAAAACAAACAAAACAAAAAUAAGAAUAAUACAACAGCCAAUCAACACCUUCUACUCCAUUACUGCUUUAAACAAUAAUCAACAAAAAAAAACUGCGAAAAAGACGCCAUUGGGGUCUCACUUUAGCUGGCAGGAUCUCUUCCUCGGGGUCCAACGGAUGCUGUAUCUUAGACGAAUAAUACAACAACCAAUCAACACCUACGCUCUUACAGCAUUAAACAACAAUCAAAGAAAAAACUGCGAAAAAGACGGUAUUGGGGUCUCACUUUAGCUGGCAGGCGCUCUUCCUCGGGGUCCUACGGAUGCUGUAUCAUAGACGAAGAAUACAACAACCAAUCAACACCUACGCUCUUACAGCAUUAAACAACAAUCAAAGAAAAAACUGCGAAAAAGACUCUAUAGGGUUGCGCCCAUCAGCUGGCAGGAGGUCGUCCUCGGAGUCCAACGGAUAUACAUAUACGCGAUCAAGCACGAGCACGAGUGAAAAACUGUACUAUACUAUAUUUUGAUACUAAUAAUUGUAUAUUUUUAUACCAAAAACAAAUGAUUGUCAGAUUGAUUGAUUGAUUGAUUAUAGACUUAUAUUUAUAUAUGCCUGAAGAGCUAUGAUAA